CCUACGGGGGGCAGCAGUGGGGGAUAUUGCACAAUGGGGGAAACCCUGAUGCAGCGACGCCGCGUGAGUGAAGAAGUAUUUCGGUAUGUAAAGCUCUAUCAGCAGGGAAGAAAAAAGACGGUACCUGACGAAGAAGCCCCGGCUAACUACGUGCCAGCAGCCGCGGUAAUACGUAGGGGGCAAGCGUUAUCCGGAUUUACGGGGUGUAAAGGGAGCGUAGACGGCAAGACAAGUCGGAAGUGAAAUACCCGGGCUCAACCUGGGAAUUGCUUUGGAAACUGUAUGGCUGGAGUGCUGGAGCGGUAAGCGGACUUCCUCGUGUCGCGGUGACAUGCGUAGAUCUUAGGCGGCACCCCAGUGGCGAAGGCGGCUUACUGGACAGUACCUGACGUUGAGGCUCGACCGCGUGGGGAGCAAACCGGAUUAGAUACCCUAGUCGUC
rnacentral:rRNA from 1 species